GGCCUAUUAGCUCAGUUGGUUAGAGCGUCGUGCUAAUAACGCGAAGGUCACAGGUCCAAGACCUGUAUAGGCCA
rnacentral:tRNA from 1 species